rnacentral:rRNA from 1 species
UAGUAAUCGUGUUUCAAAAUAGCACGGUGAAUAUGCCCCUGCUCCUUGCACACACCGCCCGUCAAACCACCUUAGUUGGGUCUGGACGAGGGUUUGUCUUAUGACACGCUCGAAUCUGGGUUCAGCGAGGAGGGUUAAGUCGUAACAAGGUAUCCGUAGGGGAACCUGCGGAUGGAUCACCUCCUAAGAAA